rnacentral:rRNA from 1 species
AUUGAACGCUGGCGGCAGGCUUAACACAUGCAAGUCGAGCGGGGAAGGGUAGCUUGCUACCUGACCUAGCGGCGGACGGGUGAGUAAUGCUUAGGAAUCUGCCUAUUAGUGGGGGACAACAUUCCGAAAGGAAUGCUAAUACCGCAUACGCCCUACGGGGGAAAGCAGGGGAUCUUCGGACCUUGCGCUAAUAGAUGAGCCUAAGUCAGAUUAGCUAGUUGGUGGGGUAAAGGCCUACCAAGGCGACGAUCUGUAGCGGGUCUGAGAGGAUGAUCCGCCACACUGGGACUGAGACACGGCCCAGACUCCUACGGGAGACAGCAGUGGGGAAUAUUGGACAAUGGGCGCAAGCCUGAUCCAGCCAUGCCGCGUGUGUGAAGAAGGCCUUUUGGUUGUAAAGCACUUUAAGCGAGGAGGAGGCUACUUGGAUUAAUACUCUGGGAUAGUGGACGUUACUCGCAGAAUAAGCACCGGCUAACUCUGUGCCAGCCGCCGCCGUAA